rnacentral:lncRNA from 1 species
UAACAUGAUUUCCAUACAAUGACCAUAAGUCAUAGAGAAGUAAAGAUUGGGCGAGUACUCUAUUCAUAGUGGUUACAAGCUUCGAUUACAAGGAAUCACAAAUCCUAAUACUAGUUACAACUAGAACACAGAAUGGAGCCUUUACAAGAAAAUAUGGCUAUUGAAUCUACCACCAAAAAUAAAAAUUACAAAAUGAAGAAUAGCCUGUAAUUUUCUUCCUACAUUUAAUAAUCUACAUUACAGAAGGUUGAUUGGAACAAUAGUUUGUCCUAUAUAUGAAGAGGAAGUAGAAUCCACAGAACAUGUAAUGCGGGGUUGUCGAAUUACAAAAGAGGUCUCGAAUCACUUGAAUUUUGUGUGGCCCUAAAAUAUUACAGACAUGGGAAAUAGAAACUAGAUUGCCUACAUUUUUAAACAAAAUUCGAAAAAUCAGUGUAGAUAUUUGCAUGUGCUCUAUGGGCAAUUCGAGCAAACAUAAACAAAUGGGUGCAUGAGUGCGAGAAAAAAGAUGGAUCAGUCCCUGCAAAUUUUAUCAAGAACUAUCUUAGGGAGUUGGACAAUUUGAGCAAUAAGUUACCUGAGAGGAGGGAGGUGACUGAAUGAUGGAAGAUGUCGAAAAACCCAUGUGUUAAGUUAAAUUUCGACGGUGCAUAUAGAAAUCAAGAAAAGAGGUCAUGAUCUGGUAUUGUUAGUAGGGAUUCAAGAGGACAAGUGAUAGGUUCAAAAAUAGUGAUUAACGAAAACAUACCUUCGACGUUUGCAACUGAAGCUUUGCCUUGCAUCUAGGCAAUACAGAUAGGAUUAGAUUUGGGAAUAAGGCCGGUGGAGGUCGAAGGGGUUUCAUUAACUGUGGUGAAAAAGGCUCAAAUGAAUGAGGAAGACAAAUUUGAAAUCUCGGCCUACAUAAAGGAUGCAAAGAUAUUAAGUAAAGAAUUUCAUACUUGUAUUUUCAUGCAUUCAUCUAGAUCGUCCAAUGGAGUGACUCAUUUGCUAGCAACUGAAGAGAUUAAAAGGAUAGAACAUACUUAUCUGGAGAACGGGGUACCCAGUUUUGCUAACGCGGCGGUGGAACUCGACUGACGAUAGACAGAGGCUCUGGUUUGAGAGGAGAACUAAAGACGGAAAAAAACGAAGAUGUCUAG